AUUGAACGCUGGCGGCAUGCCUUACACAUGCAAGUCGAACGGUAACAGGUCUUCGGAUGCUGACGAGUGGCGAACGGGUGAGUAAUGCAUCGGAACGUGCCCAGUCGUGGGGGAUAACUGCUCGAAAGAGCAGCUAAUACCGCAUACGACCUGAGGGUGAAAGCGGGGGACCGUAAGGCCUCGCGCGAUUGGAGCGGCCGAUGUCAGAUUAGCUAGUUGGUGGGGUAAAGGCCUACCAAGGCAACGAUCUGUAGUUGGUCUGAGAGGACGACCAGCCACACUGGGACUGAGACACGGCCCAGACUCCUACGGGAGGCAGCAGUGGGGAAUUUUGGACAAUGGGCGCAAGCCUGAUCCAGCAAUGCCGCGUGCAGGAAGAAGGCCUUCGGGUUGUAAACUGCUUUUGUCAGGGAAGAAAUCCUCUGGGUUAAUACCUCGGGGGGAUGACGGUACCUGAAGAAUAAGCACCGGCUAACUACGUGCCAGCCGCCGCCGUAACAC
rnacentral:rRNA from 1 species